AGUGAACGCUGGCGGUAGGCCUAACACAUGCAAGUCGAACGGCAGCACAGUAAGAGCUUGCUCUUACGGGUGGCGAGUGGCGGACGGGUGAGGAAUACAUCGGAAUCUACUUUUUCGUGGGGGAUAACGUAGGGACACUUACGCUAAUACCGCAUACGACCUACGGGUGAAAGCAGGGGAUCUUCGGACCUUGCGCGAUUGAAUGAGCCGAUGUCGGAUUAGCUAGUUGGCGGGGUAAAGGCCCACCAAGGCGACGAUCCGUAGCUGGUCUGAGAGGAUGAUCAGCCACACUGGAACUGAGACACGGUCCAGACUCCUACGGGAGGCAGCAGUGGGGAAUAUUGGACAAUGGGCGCAAGCCUGAUCCAGCCAUACCGCGUGGGUGAAGAAGGCCUUCGGGUUGUAAAGCCCUUUUGUUGGGAAAGAAAAGCAGCAGGUUAAUACCCCGCUGUUCUGACGGUACCCAAAGAAUAAGCAACGGCUAACUUCGUG
rnacentral:rRNA from 1 species